rnacentral:rRNA from 1 species
GAUGAACGCUGACAGAAUGCUUAACACAUGCAAGUCUACUUGAACUUCGGUUUGGGUGGCGGACGGGUGAGUAACGCGUAAAGAACUUGCCUCACAGUUAGGGACAACAUUUGGAAACGAAUGCUAAUACCUGAUAUUAUGAUUUUAGGGCAUCCUAAAAUUAUGAAAGCUAUAUGCGCUGUGAGAGAGCUUUGCGUCCCAUUAGCUAGUUGGAGAGGUAACGGCUCACCAAGGCGAUGAUGGGUAGCCGGCCUGAGAGGGUGAACGGCCACAAGGGGACUGAGACACGGCCCUUACUCCUACGGGAGGCAGCAGUGGGGAAUAUUGGACAAUGGACCAAAAGUCUGAUCCAGCAAUUCUGUGUGAACGAUGACGUUUUUCGGAAUGUAAAGUGAUUUCAGUUGGGAAGAAAAAAAUGACGGUACCAACAGAAGAAGUGACGGCUAAAUACGUG